ACCCAGGAUCUCACGCCAGCACAGAUUGGCCUGCUGGGAACCCAGAUGAAGUCUAACAAAAAAGAGAGAGGCGAGCUGGGACGUGACACCUGCACUGCUCCCCGUGUGCCCAUGGCAGCCAGAAUCUGUCCCCGGGGAGCAAAGGCACCAUGUGGCAUGUGUUAGGAGGCCAGCUGCUGCCCGUAAUGUCCCCACCACGUGUGGUUGGGAGCCCCAGGCUGAUGCUGACCGGCUCCCCGCUGGUCCUCCACAGCUGGGGCACCACACAAAGGUCUCCUCCUGCCCGAAGCCCCAGCAAGAGACUGGGACCCAGUGCGGUGUGCCAAACUGGUCUGAGCACCAGAGCUGAGUGCCAGGAAGAGUGGUUACCUGUGGCAUCACUCCGAACCAUAGGAUCAUUGAGGUCGGAAAAGACCUUCAAGAUCACGAAGUCCAACCAUCAGCCUGACCUACCAAGUCCCAUCACUAUACCACGUCCCUCAGCGCCACAUCCCUGUGUCUCUUGAAUACCUCCGGGGAUGGGGGCUCCACCACGUCCCUGGGCAGCCCGUUCCAGAGUCUCAUGCUGUGCAACCAGGUACAAAAAUCAGCUCCGGUGGCUUUGCCCAAGGGGCUCAGAUGUCACAGGAUUUUGAACUUAGAAGAACUGUAUGGAGAAGAGUGAAAUGAUAUGCUUGGUGGUUUCCUAAAAUAUAUCUGAGGACCAGAGUCUGACAUACGCAGAAUGAUUUCCUGCCUCCCUUCGCAGCUCUGCUGAGGCUCGGAGAAACCACUUGGCCGGCUGCUGAUGGUGCGGGAGGUUUGGGAUGUCUUCCCCCAGCAGAUUUUUGCUCUCAUCUGGUGCCCUGGUGCCCACGGCAGGGAGGACAAGUUUGCCUGUGCUUAGCACAAGCAUUCAGAGAACUUGAUGGUGCUGGAGGAGACAGGGUUUUAUUGUAGAGUUCACCUCACAUGAUUUAUUUACUGUUUUUCAAAAUACAGUAGGAUAGGUUUUGGCUAUAAGUGCCAUGAAACCUGAAAAGGAGGGUGAAAACUUCUUUUUAUUUUUUUAUUUUUUUGUCUGAUUACUAAAUGGGGAAAAGCCAGAGAAGAGCUCCGAGAGCCAGCAAUGCCAGGAGGGAGUGAGGAGAAGAUUGGGUUUCAGCUCCUUGCCCUUCCCAGCCUGUCUCUGAAGAGCAGCCUUCUGUAAUUUUAGUUGUGAUUGAAUAUUUAACUGCAUGAAAAUGGUAGCCUGCACCUAAUAAUAUCCCCAUGAUGAGGACACUGCUUCAGACCCAGCGUAGUGGUGCAGGCCAAGGCUUGGGUAAAGGUCUGGGGUGCAGGUCAUGGAGCCACGCAAUUGGAGAAAUUUAUGACCUUUCUUGUAAUGAAGUUUCAUUACAUUUCAAAGGAACACUUCACCUUUUAAAAUGAAAAAGGGA